GCUUUUUAGCACAAGAGAAUCCCCACCUUGACUACUAGCAGCUCCCUUCUUUCCAAACUAGUUUCCAGUACUACUUUGUAUCAGCAGCUGGCUUUGUUUUUGCAUUACAGUGUUAACAUCACCUCUGACUUACUUUUGUCAGCAGUGAGGCGACUUAAACAGUUGUCCAGAAACUCUGGGGGAACCUCACAGGCUUGUUAUGUCCCUGAUGCUUUUUUUGGUCUCCUUUCCCAAAUAUUUGUGCUCAUAGUUUUAUCGUGUUGAUAUAAUCCCCAAAUUACAUUGAAAGUCUAAUGCCUCACUCUAAUCCCAGCAAGAUCUGCAUGUGCAGGAUUCAUUCUCAAAGCAGCAGGCUGUUCUGGGCUUUAUGCAGUGUGCCAGCCGAGUUACCCUCAUCACCUGCUCAGUCUUAUUUAUUUAUUUUUUUUGGAAAGUGAAAUUGUAUUUUUCUCCAUUAACCUCUGUGAACAUUGUACUAUGGCAUAUUGUUCUCCGGAUAUUUAUGGAUAUUUUCUUUUGCCACGGUAUUUCGUGGAUGUCAUCUAUAGUUUCAGAGAGAUUAUAUUACCACCAAUGAGCCAGCCACCUAUGCAAUUCCCUCCUACCCUCUCUUUUAGGAGAGUAAUCCUACAGUUGAGCUAAACUCUUGCAAAGAAUUGCUACUUUUUAAGAAAAAUUACUUUAUUAACUAUGGCAAACAGU
rnacentral:lncRNA from 1 species